rnacentral:rRNA from 1 species
UUCGUAGGUGAACCUGCGGAAGGAUCAUUGUCGAAACCUGCCCAGCAGAAAGACCCGCGAACACGUUAGAAAUACUCAGGGGGCGAGGGGUGUCAACGAGCCUCAAACCCCCUGUGCCUAGGGCUUCGGCCAUGGUCGRUGGCCUAGGCUUAAAAACAAACCCCGGCGCGGAAUGCGUCAAGGAAAAAUGAUGGAACGACCCAUGCCGCCAUAGCCCCAGAAAAUGGUGCGUUUCUAUGGUGGUUGAUUCGUGACUGUUUUAACUCAAAACGACUCUCGGCAACGGAUAUCUCGGCUCUCGCAUCGAUGAAGAACGUAGCGAAAUGCGAUACUUGGUGUGAAUUGCAGAAUCCCGUGAACCAUCGAGUCUUUGAACGCAAGUUGCGCCCGAAGCCAUUUGGCCGAGGGCACGUCUGCCUGGGCGUCACACAUCGUUGCCCCCCUAGACAUCCCCAUGACACUCCCCGUUAGGUGUGUGUGGAUUGAUAAGGGGCAGAGGAUGGCCUCCCGUGCGCACUUUGUCUCGCGGUUGGUCCAAAAUUGAGUCCUCGGCCACAUCGUCGUGGCAAUAGGUGGUUGUCGAUCAUUCGGUGCCCCGUCACGUGUGUUGGCCUCGCRUCGGGACUCUUGUAGACCCCAAUGCAUCUCUUAUGGAUGCUUCCAAUGCGACCCCAGGUCAGGCGGGGCUACCCGCUGAGUUUA